rnacentral:rRNA from 1 species
AUUGAACGCUGGCGGAAUGCUUUACACAUGCAAGUCGAACGGCAGCACGGGGGCAGCCCUGGUGGCGAGUGGCGAACGGGUGAGUAAUACAUCGGAACGUGCCCGGUCGUGGGGGAUAACGUAGCGAAAGUUACGCUGAUACCGCAUACGAUCUGAGGAUGAAAGCGGGGGACCUUCGGGCCUCGCGCGAUCGGAGCGGCCGAUGUCAGAUUAGGUAGUUGGUGGGGUAAAGGCCUACCAAGCCGACGAUCCGUAGCUGGUCUGAGAGGAAGAACAGCCACACUGGGAAUGAGACCCGGUCCCGGAUCCCACGGGGAGCAGCCGGGGGGGAACUUUGAAAAUGGGGCGAAGGCUGGUUCAGGCCUGUCCGCGGGCAGGACAAGGGCUUCGGGUUGGUAAACUGUUUUUGUAGGGAGGAAAAAGGCUAUGGCUAUUACCUGGGGUUCAUGAGUGUCCCGCAAGAAUAAGCACCGGUAAACUACGU